UACGGAGGAUCCGAGCGUUAUCCGGAUUUAUUGGGUUUAAAGGGUGCGUAGGCGGGCCUGUAAGUCAGCGGUGAAAGUUCGUGGCUCAACCACGGAAUUGCCGUUGAAACUACCGGCCUUGAGUGUAGAUGAGGUGGGUGGAAUUCGUAGUGUAGCGGUGAAAUGCAUAGAUAUUACGAAGAACUCCGAUUGCGUAGGCAGCUCACUGGGCUACAACUGACGCUGAGGCACGAAGGUGCGGGGAUCAAAC
rnacentral:rRNA from 1 species